CCUACGGGGGGCUGCAGUGGGGAAUUUUGGACAAUGGGCGCAAGCCUGAUCCAGCCAUGCCGCGUGCAGGAUGAAGGCCUUCGGGUUGUAAACUGCUUUUGUACGGAACGAAAAGGUGCCUUCUAAUAAAGGGCGCUCAUGACGGUACCGUAAGAAUAAGCACCGGCUAACUACGUGCCAGCAGCCGCGGUAAUACGUACGGAAUGAGCGGGCGUCGGAAUUGCGGAGGCGGUUUUGUGAGACAGAGGUGAAAUCCCCGGGCUCAACCUGGGAACUGCCGUUGUGACUGCAAGGCUGGAGUGCGGCAGAGGGGGAUGGAAUUCCGCGUGUAGCAGUGAAAUGCGUAGAUAUGCGGAGGAACACCGAUGGCGAAGGCAAUCCCCUGGGCCUGCACUGACGCUCAUGCACGAAAGCGUGGGGAGCAAACAGGAUUAGAUACCCUAGUAGUC
rnacentral:rRNA from 1 species